UUGUGGACACAUCUUCAAUUCCAGCAAACAAAGAAGAAGAUGAAGAAGAACAUUCUCAAAGUGAAGAAGGAGAGGAAGCUGCCAUGAUAGAAGAGUCCAAUACUAUGUAGACUUCAAUUCCAGCAAGAUACAACAACGACAAUGACGAGAAUAAAGAUGAAGAAUACCAACCAAUGAGUAAGAGAAAGAACUCCAUGAGCCAUACAAGGCAAUAAGAGGUGCAGGAAGGCUCAUCUCCUUUGCAUGAAAGAAGAUAUCCAACAUGUUAGCGAAGACCACUAGGUGAAUGGUGGAAGAACUACAUCUUUCCACAAGAAAGUGAAGACCAUGCAAAUAUUGCUCUUCUUGAUGAUCCAUUGACUUUGUGUGAUGUAAUGAGGUGAGGUGAUGCAAUGAAGUGGGAGAUUGCCAUGCAUGAAGAAUAAAAACCUCUUAUGGACAAUGAGACAUGGAAGUUGACUCCACUUCCACCAAAUCAAUAAGCAAUGGGAUGUAAGUAGGUAUUUAGAACCAAGAGAGAUGCUAUGGACAAUGUUGUGAAGUACAAGGUAAGAUUAGUUGCCAAAGGCUACUCACAAGUUGCUUGAGUGCACUUAAAUAAGACAUUUCAACCCGUGGCAAAGUUUGCCACCAUUAGAACCAUAGUAGCAAUAGGAGCAUCAAUGGACCUUGAGAUGCAUCAAAUGAACGUCAAGAAAGCAUUCUUGAAUGGAAAAUUAGAAAAAGACAUCUUUAUGUAGCAACCUCAAGGAUUUAUUGAACAAGACAAACACCACCUUGUUUGCAAGUUGCGGAAGUCAUUGUAUGGACUCAAGCAAUCACUAAGAGCAUGGUACCAAUGGAUUGACUCAUUCUUUGUGAAGAAAGAUUAUGUAAGAAGUGAAACUGACCAUUCUUUAUAUGUAUUGCAAGCCAAGGACUUCUUGCUGGUUGUGAUCCUCUAUGUAGAUGAUUUUAACAUCUUAAGCAACACUAUGGUAAGAUUGGAUUGGUUGAAGAAGAAAUUGGAGGGAGAGUUUGAGAUGAGUGAUUUGGAAGAGCUCCAUUAUUGUUUGGGUGUGGAAUUCACAAGAAGUAGAGAAUCAAAGACCAUCACAUCGAGCCAAAGCAAGUACAUUGAAGAAGUAUUGAAACGAUUCAACAUGGGAGAUUGCAAGCCCAUUGGAAGUCCUUUGGAGGCCAACUUGAAGUUGAUGAAGCUCACAGAUGAGGAGUAUGGUAAAGUUGAGCAUCAAAUGUAAGGCAUACCAUACAAGGUAGCAGUAGUCUCACUCAUGUAUGCAAUGGUAGGUACAAGGAUGGAUCUUGUAUUUGCGAUAAGUGUUGUUAGCCAACACAUGGCAAAACCAGGUCCUAUGCAUUGGGCAACCAUCAAGAGAAUCAUGAGGUACUUGAUAGGCUCUUUAAACCUCAAAGUAUGUCUUGGAGGAGAUAAUAUUGCAUUACAUGGAUAUUGUGAUGCGGAUUGGACUGGAGAUGCAAACGAUAGAAGGUCAACAAUGGGCUUCGUAUUCUUUGUUGGAGUGGGAGCCAUAUCUUGGAAUUGCAAGAGACAACCAACCAUUGCCAGGUCCACAAUGGAGGCGGAGUACAUGGCAGCAAGUCAUGGAGCAAUGGAGGCAAUUUGGUUGAGGUUGUUAUUGGAAGAUAUUGGACUUGUGCAAGUGGAGGCCACUCCAUUGAGGUGUGACAAUCAACGAUGUCUUGCUUUUGCAAAGAAUCCAAAUCAUCAUGCAAGAACCAAGUACAUUGAUAUUCAGCAUCAUUUUAAAAGAGAGAAGAUAGAGAUGGGGGUUAUUGAUAUGAUGUAUUGUGAAACCAAAGACAUGUUGGCUGAUUUGUUGACAAAAGCCUUAGUUAGAGAAAGACACAACAAGUUGAGUAAGGUAAUAGGAUUGAUAGGUAAUUGACAAAUAGCAAAGUGGGAGUGUUGAACGAAAGGACUCUUUAAGUAGUUGCUAAUGGUCAAUAGAGUACAAGAGUUGUUAGGGAUAUGUCCUAAGGUUAGGUAUUGGUCUAUAGUACAUUAGAGUACAAGAGGAGGGCUGGUCCUAGGAGAUAUCCCAUAUGGAAUGUAGCACUAAGAACCAUGGUACUAGUAUAUAAGGAAAGGAUUAGCAUGGAAAGAAUUAUCUCAUACGACACUCUAUUUGUUAAAGAGCAACCUUGUUGGUCCUAACUUACUUAUGUUUAUUAUGUUUUCUAUGUUUCAAUAAAGACAACGUCCACUCUUUGACUUUUACACACAUGGUCCUAGGAUCCUUUUGGCAUCUCAGGAGUCCCAAGAGUAUCCUAUGUCCAAUACUAUUUAUUUUUACGUCUUACACACAUGCUCUUAGGUUCCUUUGGCAUCUCAUGACCUAAGAGGGUAUCUUAUGACACACACUUAUGACUCAUUUUUAGACUUGAGAUAUUUCCUUGUUAAUACUUUAUCCAAUAGAAUAAAAGAUAAAGAUGUUGAGAUAAAUAGGUAAUAGUAAAAAUAGAAUAAGUUAUCUCGUAGAGAAUAUUUUCUUAGGUAAGUUGCUAAUAGUCAAAGAUAACAAUUUCUACCAUUGGAAGAUCAAAAUAGAGCUUUUGUUGGCAUCUUUGGACCUUUGGGACAUUGUAGAUGAGAGUGAAGACUUUCCAAGCAUAGAUUCAAGCCCUAAGGACCACAAAGACUUCAAAAGACGUGAAAAGAUGGCUUUUGGCAUGAUUGCCACCAAUUUGGAUGAAGCCAACUUUCCUCACAUUAUCCAUUGCAAAGGACCAGCGGAAGCAUGGAAGACACUUUACAACACAUAUGAGAGUAAGAACUUGUCCAACAUCCUCUUCACAAGAAGGAAAUUCUUCACUUCUAAGAUGGAAGAAGGUGAAGACCUCAUGACACAUGUUAAUAAGGUAAAGGCUCUUGCAUAUCAACUCACAAUUGUUGACAAGCCUUUAAAAGAUGGUGAUAUUGUCAUGACUCUCCUCAUGAGUCUUCUUGAGUCCUACAACUACCUCAUUGUGGCAUUGGAGUCUUUGAGGUUAAAAGAGCUUACAAUGGACUAUGUGACAUCAAGACUUGCACAUGAAGUAACUAAAAGGAAAGAGAAGGAGCAUCAAAGUGAAGAUUUAGCUCUCUUCUCAAGACAAGGCAAAGGUACCUAUUCCAACCAACGUGACAAUGUGAGAAGCAAUGCAAGAACUUCCUUCAUUUGUGGAAAACAGGGUCAUUUUGCCCAAAAUUGCUACAAGGCCAAGAAAGAAAAUAGAGAAAAUAAUAACAACGCAUGUGAUGAAGUUGGUAGAGAUGAUUAUGCAUUCAUGGCAAAUGAAGGCACGUCUAUGGCUGCCAUGUCCAAAUGGAUCAUUGAUUCGGGUACUACCAAGCACAUGACUCCAUACAAGUGAUCAUUGGACACUUGCGAGACAAUUCCAACAACAAAAGUAUGGUUAGGAAAUAAUGGCAUGAUGCAAGCCAUUGGAAUUGGCUCCAUUGUAGUGGAGAUUGCUGUGAAGAAUCAAAUGAAGAAGAUCAAAUUGAAGGAAGUGUUACAAGUGUUCCCUUUGCUGAAUUUCCACAAGAUCAAGACAAGUUUGGCAUUUGGCAUCGAUGCCUUAGUCAUUUGAACGCCAAAAGUAUGAAGGAGCUCCAAUCCAUGGUUAGUGGCUUAGAUCUUGGUCAAUCAUGCACAAAUCUUACUUGUGAAGGUUGUAUUCAAGGCAAACAACAAAGAGCUUCAUUUCCAAGUAGAGUUGCAACACGUGCAACCAAAUCGUUGGAGAUUGUGCAUUCUGAUGUUUUUUGGACCUAUGAGGACACCAUCAAUGGCAGGAUCAAGAUACUUUGUUACAUUUAUUGUUACAUUUAUUGAUGACUCUCUUUGCCUUGAAAAAAUUUCUAGCAAAAUGGCCUGGUUUUCCACAAAUGUAACAAGUUUUUAUUGAAACAUAGAAAGCAAACUCCACACAAGCAAGUUAGGACCAGCAAGGUUGCACUUCACAAAUAGAAUGUGGUAUGAGAUAAUUCUUCCCAUGCCAACCCUUUUCUUAUAUACUAGUACCAAGGUACCAUGUGUUACAACCCAUAUGGGAUAUCUCUUAGGACCAGCCCUCUCCUUGUAUUCUAAGGCAAUAUAGACCAGCAACUAACCUUGUAGGAUAUCCCUCAUUACUCAUAUACUCUAUUGACCAUUAGCAACAACUAAAUGAGUUCUUUCCUUCAACACUUUGGACUAUGUCACAGCAAGACUAGCCCAUGAAGUGACUAAAUGAAAACAAAAGGAGUCUAUUGGGGAACUAUCAGCACUAUUUACAAGUAAGGCAAGUACCCCUUUUCAACGUUAUCCUCUUCAAACUUGUUACAUUUGUGGAAAACCAGGCCAUUUUGCUAGAAAUUGUUUCAAGGCAAAGAAAGGAGAAAGAGAGAAUGCCAAUAAUGCCUUCCAUGACCAUGGAGGUGAAGACUUUGCAUUCUUGGUAAAACAAACUCCUUCCAUAAUUGAUAUGAGCAAAUGGAUUGUGGAUUCCGGAUUUACCAAAUACAUGAUUCCUACAAGGUUUCAUUUAACACUUAUCAACCAAUUCAAGCAACCAAGGUUUGGUUAGGUGAUAAUUGUAUGGUACAAGCCAUUAGAAUUUGCGCCAUUGUAGUGGAGGUGGUGGUGAAGGGCAUAAGCAAGAGAAUCACUCUCAAGGAUGUGUUGCAUGUGCCAAAGAUGAAGAAGAACCUCCUUUCGGUGAGUAAACUUGUAACUCAUGGGUACAAAGUGCAAUUUAACAUGAAUGGAUGUUUUGUGAGAACCAUGGAAGGCAAAGAAGUAGCAAAAGGGACUAGGAAUGGCAAUCUCUAUAUUAUCAAUUGCUAGAGGAUCAAUGGAGUGGAGGUUGCUGCCUUUGCUGAAUUUCCAUCAAAUGAAGAGAAGAUGGGCAUUUGGCAUCAAAGACUUGGGCAUUUGAAUGCCAAAAGCAUGAAGGGACUUCAAUCUAAGAUAAAUCGUUUAGACCUUGGCCAUUCUAUCAUGAAUCUUGCUUGUGAGGGAUGCAUUCAAGGCAAACAACAUAGGACACCAUUUCCUAGUGGAGUUGGAACAAGGGCAAACCAAAUGCUGGAGCUUGUGCAUUCAAAUGUUUGUGGAUCGAUGAGGAUACCAUUUAUGAGUGGUAGUGAAAAGUGGGAGAUGUGUCUAAGUGGGAGUAGUGGUGUGUUUGUGGACACAUCUUCAAUUCCAACAAACAAGUAAGAAGAUGAAGAAGUGCAUUCUCAAAGUGAAGAAGGAGAGGAAGAUGCCAUGAUAGAAGAGCCCAAUACUAUGAAGACUUCAAUUCCAUCAAGAUACAACAAGGACAAUGAAGAGAAUGAAGAUGAAGAAUACCAACAAAUGAGUAAGAGAAAGCAAUCCAUGAGUCAUACAAGGCAGCAAGAGGUGCAAGAAGGCUCAUCUUCUUUGCAUGAAAGAAGAUAUCCAAAACAUGAGAGAAGACCACAAGGUGAAUGGUGGAAGAACCACAUCUUUCCACAACAUUUGGAUGGAAUUGGUUUCUUAGAACCAAGAGAGAUGCAAAUGAUUGAAGGUCAACAAUGGGCUAUGUAUUCUUUAUUUGAGUGGGAGCCAUAUCUUCGAAUUGCAAGAGACAACCAAACAUUGCAAGGUCCACAAUAGGGGCGGAGUAUUUGGCAGCAAGUCAUAAAACAAUGGAGGCAAUUUGGUUAAAGUUGUUAUUGGAAGAAAUUGGACUUGUACAAUUAGAGGCUACUCCAUUGAGGUGUGUUAAUCAAGGAUGUCUUGCUUUUGCAAAGAAUCCAAAGCAUCAUGCAAGAACUAAGUACAUUGAUAUUCAGCAUCAUUUCAUAAGAGGGAAGAUAGAGAUGGAGGUUAUUGAUAUGAUGUAUUGUGAAACCAAAGACAUGUUGGCUGAUUUGUUGACAAAAGCCUUAAUUAGAGAAGGACACAACAAGUUGAGUAAGGCAUUAGGAUUGAUAGCUAAUUGACCUAUAGCAAAGUGGGAGUGUUGAGAAAAGAACACUUUAAGUAGUUGCUAAUGGUCAAUAGAGUACAAGUGUUGUUAAGGACAUCCCAUAAGGUAGGGUACUGGUCUAUAGUACAUUAGAGUACAAGGGGAGGGCUGGUCCUAGGACAUAUCCCAUAAGGAUUGUAGCACUUGGUACCUUGGUACUAGUAUAUAAGGAAAGGGUUGGCAUGGGAAGAAUUAUCUCAUACCACACUCUAUUUGUUAUAGUGCAACCUGGCUGGUCCUAACUUACUUGUGUGGAGUAUGCUUUCUAUGUUUCAACAACAUGAAGAACCAAAGAAGAUGAAGAAGAAGAAGAAGAAAGUGUAUACAAUAGGUAUGACAAACAAUGAAGAAGUUGAAGAUGAUGAUGUUGAUGACGAAUACCAAUCUUUGAAUGAGAAGAGACAAAGUUCAAUAAAAAAGAUGGUUGGAGAGCAUCAAGGUGAAUCUUCUUCAAAUGAUAGAAGAUAUCCAGAAGAGAAAGAAAACAACGUGGUGAAUGGUGGAAGGACCACAUCUUUCCUUAUAUACUAAUGUGAAGAACAUGCCAAUGUUGCACUCCUUGCUAAUCCAUUGAAUAUUUGUGAUGCUAUGAAGUCUACGAAUGCGUUGGAAGGCUAUGCAAGAAGAGUACAAAUCUCUCAUGAGCAAUGAAACAUGGCAAUUGAGUCAACUUCCACCAAAUCGAUCUUCAAUUGGUUGUAAGUGGGUGUUUAGAACCAAGAGGGAUGCAAUGGGUGAUAUUGUGAGAUAUAAGGCAAGGCUAGUUGUCAAAGGAUACUCACAAGUUGCUGGUGUUGAUUUCAAUGAGACAUUUGCUCCCGUGGCUAAGUUCACCACCAUUAGAACCAUUGUUACAAUUGGGGCAGCAAUGGACUUGGAGAUGCAUCAAAUGGUUGUAAAGACGGCUUUCUUGAAUGGAGAGUUGGAAGAAGACAUCUACAUGGAUCAACCUCAAGGAUUUGUAGAAGAAGGCAAGCAACAUCUUAUUUGUAAGUUGAAGAAAUCCUUGUAUGGACUCAAGCAAUCUCCAAGGGCAUGGUAUCAAAGAAUUGACACAUUCUUUGUUAAUGAGGGAUUCCAAAGAAGUGAGGCUGACCAUUCUAUGUAUGAGAUACAAUCAAAAGAGUUCUUGAUGAUUGUUAUUCUUUAUGUAGAUGAUUUAAUCAUCUUAACCAAUAUUCUAAAGAUGAUGGAUUGGUUGAAGGCAAAGUGAAAAAAAGAAUAUGAGAUGAGUGAUUUGGGAGAGCUUCACUAUUGCUUAGGAGUGGAAUUUGCAGGAGAUCGUGCUAACAAGACCAUCACAAUGAGCCAAAGAAAGUACAUUGAAGGAGUAUUGAAACGAUUCAACAUGGAGGAUUGCAAGCCUAUUGGAACACCUUUGGAGUCCAAUUUGAAGUUGAUGAAGCUCACGGAUGAAGAGUUUGCACAAGUUGAAGGCCAAAUGGAAGGUAUUCCAUACAGGAAAGCAGUUGGGUCACUCAUGUAUGCAAUGGUUGGGAGAAGGGUGGAUCUUGCUUAUGCGGUGAGUGUCGUAAGUCAACACAUGUCAAAAGCAGGACCAAUUCAUUGGGCAACCAUUAAGAGGAUCAUGAGGUACUUGAAAGGCACUUCAGACUUCAAAUAGUGCCUUGGAAGUGAAAGUAUUGCUUUGCAUGGUUAUUGUGAUGGAGAUUGGGCAAGAGAUGCAAAUGUUAGGCGGUCCACAACGGGCUAUGUAUUCUUUGUUGGAGUGGGAGCUAUUUCAGGGAAUUACAAGAGGCAAUCCACAAUUGCAAGGUCCACAAUGAAGGCGCAGUACAUGGCAGCAAGCCAUGGUGCAAAGGAAGCAACAUGCUUAAGGCAAGUAUUGGAGGACAUUGGACUUUUACAAUUGGAAGCAACUCUAUUGAAUUGUGACAAUUAAGGAUGCCUUGCUUUUGCAAAGAAUCCAAAGCAUCAUUCAAGAACCAAGCACAUUGACAUUCAACACCACUUUAUAAGAGAGAAAAUUGAAGUGGAAGUGAUUGACUUGAAGUAUUGUGCAACAGAAGAUAUGCUUGCUGAUUUGUUAACAAAGGCAUUGGUCAAAGAUAGACAUCAUAUGUGUUGAAGGAAAGAACUCAUUUAGUUGUUGCUAAUGGUCAAUAGAGUAUAUGAGUAAUGAGGGAUAUCCUACAAGGUUAGUUGCUGGUCUAUAGAACCUUAGAAUACAUGGAGAGGGCUGGUCCUAAGAGAUAUCCCAUAUGGGUUGUAACACAUGGUACCUUGGUACUAGUAUAUAAGAAAAGGGUUGGCAUGGGAAGAAUGAUCUCAUACCACAAUCUAUUUGUUAUAGUGCAACCUUGCUGGUCCUAACUUACUUGUGUGGAGUAUGCUCUCUAUGUUUCAAUAGGUUAUGGGCCCACAUUCUCUUACCAAGUAAGUUGUUCUUACAUUUUAUUUUCCUUGUUGCUUGUUUGGUGGUUGAGAUCUUAUGGUAUAGUAUUACUAGUGAUUUGUUGAAGUCAUUACUCCUGGAUUUGUGAGUGUAUGAGCUUAGUGCAAGACCUUGAUAGUGUCUUUGUUGAAGUAACACUAGUAUUUGAGAGUUUUAUGAGAAAUUGAGUCAUUUUGAGUGAGGUGAUGUGAGGGAGAUGUUUGAAAGCCAUAGAAUUACAUGACAUAGCAUUUCCCACCAUUAAGACGUGAUUUGGACUCAAAGUAUGCAAAAAGUUGCAAAACAGCGAAUUCUGAGUUUGUAGUUCAGCAAUCUUUGAGUAGUCAUAUCUUUUGCAUUACAACUCCAAAUCAAGAGAUUUUUGGACCUACUUGUAGCUUGAGAUGGCAUCUUCUGAGAUUGUAGUGUUGAGAAAAGAACUCUUUAAGUAGUUGCUAAUGGUCAAUAGAGUAAAAGUGUUGUUAAGGAUAUCCCAUAAGGUAGGGUGCUGGUCUAUAGUACAUUAGAGUACAAGGGGAGGGCUGGUCCUAGGAGAUAUCCCAUAUGGAUUGUAGCACUUGGUACCUUGGUACUACUAUAUAAAGAAAGGGUUGGCAUGGGAAGAAUUAUUUCAUACCACACUCUAUUUGUUCUAGUGCAACCUUGCUGGUCCUAACUUACUUGUGUGGAGUAUGCUCUCUAUGUUUCAAUAGGUUAUGGGCCCACAUUCUCUUACCAAGUAAGUUGUUCUUACAUUUUAUUUUCCUUGUUGCUUGUUUGGUGGUUGAGAUCUUAUGGUAUAGUAUUACUAGUGUUUUGUUGAAGUCAUUACUCCUGGAUUUGUGAGUGUAUGAGCUUAGUGCAAGACCUUGAUAGUGUCUUUGUUGAAGUAACACUAGUAUUUGAGAGUUUUAUGAGAAAUUGAGUCAUUUUGAGUGAGGUGAUGUGAGGGAGAUGUUUGAAAGCCAUAGAAUUACAUGACAUAGCAUUUCCCACCAUUAAGACGUGAUUUGGACUCAAAGUAUGCAAAAAGUUGCAAAACAGCGAAUUCUGAGUUUGUAGUUCAGCAAUCUUUGAGUAGUCAUAUCUUUUGCAUUACAACUCCAAAUCAAGAGAUUUUUGGACCUACUUGUAGCUUGAGAUGGCAUCUUCUGAGAUUGUAGUGUUGAGAAAAGAACUCUUUAAGUAGUUGCUAAUGGUCAAUAGAGUAAAAGUGUUGUUAAGGAUAUCCCAUAAGGUAGGGUGCUGGUCUAUAGUACAUUAGAGUACAAGGGGAGGGCUGGUCCUAGGAGAUAUCCCAUAUGGAUUGUAGCACUUGGUACCUUGGUACUACUAUAUAAAGAAAGGGUUGGCAUGGGAAGAAUUAUUUCAUACCACACUCUAUUUGUUAUAGUGCAACCUUGCUGGUCCUAACUUACUUGUGUGGAGUAUGUUUUCUAUGUUUCAAUAUGUAGUUCAGCAAUCUUUGAGUAGUCAUAUCUUUUGCAUUACAACUCCAAAUCAAGAGAUUUUUUGACCUACUUGUAGCUUGAGAUGGCAUCUUUUGAGAGUGAUAGCUUAAGAAUGGUAGAAAAGUUUAGAGGUGACAACUUUCACCACUGAAAGGCCAAAAUGGAGCUACUUUUGGCAUCAUUGGAUCUUUGGGAGAUAGUAUGUGAGGAGGAAGAGGCACCUGGAUUAGAGGCAAGCAUGAAGGAGCAAAAGGACUUCAAAAGAUGAGAAAAGAAGGCUUUUGGCAUAAUUGCCACCAACUUAGAUGAAACCAACUUUGCUCAUGUCAUUUCUUGCAAAGGAGCAGCAGAUGCAUGGAAGACUCUUUGCAAUGUCUAUGAAAGUAGGAAUCUUUUCAAUGUACUAUGGUCAAGGCAAAAGUUCUUCACCAUGAAGAUGGAAGAAGGUGAAGAUCUCAUGGCUCAUGUAAAUAAGGUAAAAGCACUUGCAAACCAACUUGCUGUUGUUGACAAGCCUUUACUUGAAGAAGAUGUUAUGAUGACAUUGCUCUCAAGCCUUCCGGACUCCUAUUCCUCCCUCAUUGUGGCAUUGGAGUCCAUUUCAAGGAAAGACCUCACUUUGGACUAUGUCACGGCAAGACUAGCCCAUGAAGUGACCAAAAGAAAGCAAAAGGAGUCUAUUGGGGAGCAAUCAGCACUAUUUACAAGACCAAGUAAGGCAAGUGCCCCUUUUCAACGUUAUCCUCCUAAAACUUGUUACAUUUGUGGAAAACCAGGCCAUUUUGCUAGAAAUUGUUUCAAGGCAAAGAAAGGAGAAAGAAAGAAUGCCAACAAUGCUAUACAUGAUCAUGCAGGUGAAGACUUUGCAUUCAUGGCAAAACAAACUCCUUCCAUGUUUGAUAUAAGCAAAUGGAUUGUGGAUUCCGGAUGUACCAAACACAUGACUCCAUACAAGUGUUCAUUUAACACUUAUCAACCAAUUCAAGCAACCAACGUUUGGUUAGGUGAUAAUUGUAUGGUACAAGCCAUUGGAAUAGGCACCAUUGUAGUGGAGGUGGUGGUGAAGGGCAUAAGCAAGAGAAUCACUCUCAAGGAUGUGUUGCAUGUGCCAAAGAUGAAGAAGAACCUCCUUUCGAUGAGUAAACUUGUAACUCAUGGGUACAAAGUGCAAUUUAAUAUGAAUGGAUGUUUUGUGAGAACCAUGGAAGGCAAAGAAGUAGCAAAAGGGAGUAGGAAUGGCAAUCUCUAUAUUAUCAAUUGCAAGAAGAUCAAUGGAGUGGAGGUUGCUGGCUUUGCUGAAUUUCCAUCAAAUGAAGAGAAGAUGGGCAUUUGGCAUCAAAGACUUGGGCAUUUGAAUGCCAAAAGCAUGAAGGGGCUUCAAUCCAAGGUAAAUUGCAUAGACCUUGGCCAUUCUACCAUGAAUCUUGCUUGUGAGGGAUGCAUUCAAGGCAAACAACAUAGGACACCAUUUCUUAGAGGAGUUGCAACAAGAGCAAACCAAUUGUUGGAGCUUGUGCAUUCGGAUGUUUGUGGAUCCAUGAGGACACCAUCUAUGAGUGGUAGUGAAAAGUGGGAGAUGUGUCCAAGUGGGAGCAGUGGUGUGUUUGUGGACACAUCUUCUAUUCUAGCAAACAAACAAGAAGAUGAAGAAGAGCAUUCUCAAAGUGAAGAAGAAGAGGAAGAUGCCAUGAUAGAAGAGCCCAAUACUAUGAAGACUUCAAUUCCAGCAAGAUACAACAAGGACAAUGAAGAGAAUGAAGAUGAAGAAUACCAACAAAUGAGUAAAAGAAAGCACUCCAUGAGUCAUACAAGGCAGCAAGAGGUGCAAGAAGGCUCAUCUUCUUUGCAUGAAAGAAGAUAUCCUACACGUGAGAGAAGACCUCAAGGUGAAUGGUGAAAGAACCACAUCUUUCCACAACAAUUGGAUCAAACAAACAAGAAGAUGAAGAAGAGCAUUCUCAAAGUAAAGAUGGAAAUGAAGAUAUCAUUGAAGAAGAGCCCAACUCUAUAAAGACUUCAAUUUCAGCAAGAUACAACAAGGACAAUGAAGAGAAUGAAGAUGAAGAAUAUCAACCAAUGAAUGAGAGAAGGAAGUGUAUGAGUCAUAGAAGGCAGCAAGAGGUGCAUGAAGGCUCAUCUUCUUUGAAUGAAAGAAGAUAUCCAACACGUGAAUGAAGACCACAAGGUGAAUGGUGGAAGAACCACAUCUUUCCACAAGUAAGUGAAGAU
rnacentral:lncRNA from 1 species